UAGGAUACACGGCUCUCACCCGUGAGACCCGGGUUCAAUUCCCGGUCGAGGAGUAAUUUUUUCUCACAUCAAU
rnacentral:tRNA from 1 species